AACGAACGCUGGCGGCAUGCCUAACACAUGCAAGUCGAGCGAAACCUUCGGGUCUUUUGUCGCACGGGUGCGUAACGCGUGGGAACCUUCCCUUAUGUUCGGCAUAACUCUCCGACAGGGGUGCUAAUACCAGAUAAUGUCUUCUGCCCAAUGAUUUAUCGCCUUUGGUUGUGCCCGCGUUGGAUUAGCUAGUUGUUAGGGUAAUAGCCUACCACGGCGACGAUCCAUAGCUGGUCUGAGAGGAUGAUCAGCCACACUGGGACUGAGACACGGCCCAGAAUCCUACGGGAGGCAGCAGUGGGGAAUAGUGGAAAAUGGGGGAAAGGAUGAAGCAGCAAGGACGCGUGAGUGAUGAAGGCAGUAGGGUUGUAAAGCGCAUUUAACCGGGAAGAUAAUGACAGUACCGGGAGAAUAAGCUACGGCUAACUACGUG
rnacentral:rRNA from 1 species